AACUAAAACAUAAUGAUAAGGGUUAAUUGGGAUGUUGUAUCCGCCAACGCAACGAUAAUUAAAGAGAAACAACACCAUUAACAACACUCCGGGUCUGGACAACCGCUACAUCAGAUGACCACGUAUUUUCGGGUAUAAAAGACUGGGGACUAUGAGUAAUGGCCCAAUCUCACAGACCAAGAAUCUCAUUGCACAAGCAAAAUGGCAUGCGCACUUCCAUUGGCCCUCUUUCUAUUGGGAACCCUGAUAUCCUUGCUUUGUGCCUACCAGCCGUACCCACAAACUUAUCCAAGAGACUAUCAACAACAAAGAGUUCCCAUACUUGUGGACAGAAUGUUAAAGCGCACUUCCUACCAAGAACAGCAGAAAAGGAUGUCAGAUCCCAAAUACGCUUCGAGAGCUCAUCAGAAGAGAUCUAUGGUCACAAUUUUGUGUAACCUAGACCAGUGUAAACAACUAAUGGCAUUCUUAAACAGAACAAUGCCUAGUGGGUAUCCAUCGCUUUCGAAUUUAUGAAAAUUAGAGCGAAAAAGAAACUGGGCUUCAAGUGCUGGCAAUGGAUUUUCGUUUGUUUUCAGUCCACAUGCUUUUCGAAAAACAUUAUUUUAAAAAUAAAUAUUAAUGCACUCCAUUUUCCACUGAUAACCAUAACUGUGGUGUUACAAUUAUGAGAAAAUGUUUUGAAAUAUAGAAUAUUUUGAAAAAUAAUUAU